rnacentral:lncRNA from 1 species
AUAACAUCAAUCAAGAAAAAAAUGAUAUUUAUGAAAAUAAAAAAAAUAAAAAAAUAGAUCAAUUUCAAAUAAACACUGAAAAAAAGGAAGUUUGUUUGAACAAUUUAAAAAACAUAGAGAAUAGAGAUGAGCAAAAUAAUUAUGAAAAAAAUAACCGUGAGCAAAAUCUUGCAGAUAUGUAUGAUGUAGAUUUAAAAAAAAAUGAAAAAAAUAUGAGUAAUAGUGCCCGUUGUAAUAAUAAAUUGAUACAGAAGAAAAAAAAAAAUCUUGAUAAUAAAAGUAGUUAUGAAACAGAAGAAGAUAAUAUAUUAAAUGAUGACACAAAUUUAUCAGAUGAAGAUGAUGAAGAGGAAUAUAGUGUCACAGAAAAAGAUUUAAUACUACAAAGGUUUAAAAAUGGGACUAGUAUAUAUGUAGAUAUUAAUAACAUUGACAGCAAGGGAGGAUGUUUGAUUGUUGAUUUUUAUUCUGAAUGUUUAAAUAAAUACAAAAAUGAAUGUAAUUUUAUAUAUUAUCAAAAUUAUAACAAUAAUAAUAGUUAUGACAAUAGUAAAAAUAAUAAUAGCUGUAGUGAUAAUAAUAGUAAUAAUAACAAUAACCGUAACAAUAACAACGACAACAGCAGUCAUAGUAAAAAUGGAUAUAAUAUUAGUUAUGGUACUAAUGCAACUACUAAUGAAGGUAUAACUACACAUAAUAUGCAACAAAGUGAUAAUGUAGCACGUAAUAGUACCAACAUUUCAAACGAUAAAAGUAUUAAUGAUAAUACUACUACUAGCACUGCUAUUGUUAACAGUAGCAACGACAAUUAUCACCGUAACAGCUGUAGUAACAUGAUAAACCCUUCCUAUCCAUAUGACGAUGAUAAAAACUUUAACUUUCAAAAAAAAAAACAAGAUUCUUUAGAUCCAUUAUUAAAAUGUAUAAACUCAUUAUCUGAUCGAAUAAAUUUACAACAUUUAGUAGGCGAUCCAACUAGCUAUUUUAAAGUAGGUGGUGGUGAUAUGUUUUAUGAUAUCAACGACCCAUUUUUAGAUGAUGAAGAAAUGUAU